GGAUUGAAAUCCCUAAUCCCCAAAUUCUUUCUUCUAUCUUCUUCUUUUACGACGGUGGCGGCGGGUUCCGACGGUGGCGGCGGGUUCCGACGGUGGCGGCGGGUUCCAACGGUGGCGACGGGUUCUUUUCUUCAAUGGCGGUUCGCGAUGGUUCUCGGCUCUUCUUGUAUUGGAAGCAGAAUGGAAGCUAAGGUGAGGUCUAUUUCAACAUCUCUUCUCAUUUUAUUUCAUGCACCACAGAGUGAGACCAAAACGGAACCAAAUCCCUAAAGCUUCAAAGCUUUCUCUCUAAUAUGUUCUCCUCCUCUAUUCCUCUUUUUCUCUUCUUUCCAUAGGCAUCGGCGAGAAGAAAGAGGGUCAUUCUUCAAGGAUGAUUCGUGAUCGAAUACAAUGCGGGUCUAACCCACGAUGAUGGCAGAUGAAGGCGUGACGGGAAAGCGGUGGUGAUUGAUCCUCGUCUUCCAGCAGCGGUGAACAACAAUCACGGCCAAAGGUGGUUCACGGUGAGAUAUGGUGGUUCAAGGUGACUCUCGGUGGUGACAGAGGCUCAUGAGGUUGGGUUGUAGAGGUGGUACCGGGGAAGGUGUUGUGUUGGGAGAAGAAGAGCAUUCGUGAUUCGGAACCAGCAGAGGCAACAAUUCGGUGAGGAAUUUUAUCCCUCUUCUAUUUAACUUUAUAUUAUGGAGUUUGAAUGAUGAAAGACUGGUAUGAGAGAACAAGGAUCAUACAAAACGAAUUAUGCUACCUUAAGGUUUUUGCAUUGCAUCAUCCAUUUCAUUCUUAAUUAAUUUUUUUACUUAAGUAGAUACAUUAUGCUGAGACCAAUGGGUAUGCUUGAUUAAAGAUAAUGAUGAAUUAAGCAUCCAAGCCUAGUACGUAUAUCAUAUAAAGCAAGGUAUGUUCACAAAAUAAUUUUUAUGGUUGGAAUGCUUACCUGGAUGUAUGCUUUGUGUUGCUACAUGUGUCACUGCAUUCUUGACUUAUAACUCUGUCCCUGGGUUGCUUUUGCCUGAAUGUAUGUAUGGUGGUUACUUUCCGGUUAUGGUCGUAUGAAUUGGUAUGAUAAGUGAACUCUCUUCCUGUGUUACUCCCUUUUUUACUAACUCUCUUCUCUGUUUUUUUUCACUGAGUGCCCUCUGAUAUUUUUUUGACAACCUGUAUGCUGUUAUCUCUUUUUGCUGAGUGUGAUGUAUAUGAUAUAUGUAUGGUAUUGUGGAAUUUUUGGGGAUGAUAGGAUAAAGAGAGGAUGAUAAGUUUUAGUGGGGUUGCUUGAGAAAUUCUGACUAAGAAGGUGCUGUAGGGUUAGAAUUUUGAGAGGAGAUUUGGCCUCUCUCACUGUGUUGUUUAUCCUUACAACACUGCAUAUAUGCUCUGUUUUCUCUAAUUUUCGUGUGGUGAACCCCCCUUUUCUGGUUGUAAUGCCUCUCCUUUUAUAGCUGGGUAGUGGUGCUCUUUGGGUUGCUAAUUGAAAGUCAGGAAUAAUUCUGACCCUUGUGUUAUGAAACUGCUCAUUGAUUGCUUGUUCCUGCUGAUUAUUGCAUACUGAUUACUGUAUUAAAGUUGCCUGAAUGACUCUGAAUACGUAACAGAAAUUUGGUUCACCUGCCCUUUACAUUUAGCCUAUUGGAUUCUGUAACUGAGGGGAUUGGUCUUUGAUUUGUAUGCUUCUGUUUCCUUUCUGCUUUAUUAUACUCCUCAUUUGCUGAUUCACAACUGAGACUAGAUAUUUAUUGGCCUGCUUAAUUGCUUCAGCUUGCCCCUUUUUUACUCUGAUGUAAGGCUGCCCAUGAAUGCUCUCUUUUAUGCUGAUAAUGAUGAUGUGUAACUGAAAUUGAGAUAGCUUAAUAGGUAGAUAUUUCUGAUACAUCUCCUCUGCUGCUACUUUUGAAUUUCUGUCUGUUCAUAAUCCAUGGUUGAAUCACGUUUCUAAUUUUAUUCUGCUCACCUCAUGAUGGCUGCCUUUUAGCUUAUUUGUAACUUUUCUGCAAUUUUAUAAGCCUUGAUAUUCAAUCUCUUUUUGACUUGGAAUUUCACUAUAUCCUCUUAUUUCCAACGUCAAUGAUAUGAUUGCCAUUCCCUUUUUGCGGUGGCUAG
rnacentral:lncRNA from 1 species